UCACUCUAGUUUCUCUACAUUUCGUACAAACCUUUCGCCUUUUACUAAAGGUUUCCGUGCAGAGGAACAAAUUUAGAGUCUUACGACCAAUUUUUCACUGCCCUGUCGAAAGAUGGGGCA